rnacentral:rRNA from 1 species
UACAGAGGGGGGCAAGCGUUGUUCGGAAUUACUGGGCGUAAAAGGGCGCGUAGGCGGCCUUCUAAGUCGAACGUGAAAUCCCUGGGGCUCAACCCAGGAACUGCGUCCGAUACUGGAAGGCUUGAAUCCGGGAGAGGGAUGCGGAAUUCCAGGUGUAGCGGUGAAAUGCGUAGAUAUCUGGAGGAACACCGGUGGCGAAGGCGCAUCCUGGACCGGCAUUGACGCUGAGGCGCGAAAGCCAGGGGGAGCAAACGGGG